UACGGAGGUGGCGAGCGUUGUCCGAAGUUACUGGGCGUAAAGCGCGCGUAGGCGGGGGAUUAAGUGAGAAGUGAAAGGCUGGGGCUCAACUCCACGCAGUGCUUCUCAUACUGGUCUUCUUGAGGGGGGUAGAGAGAAGUGGAAUGGCUGGUGUAGCGGUGAAAUGCGUAGAUAUCGGAAGGAACACCUGUGGCGAAAGCGGCUCACUGGACCAUUACUGACGCUGAGGCACGAAAGCUAGGGGAGCAAACAGG
rnacentral:rRNA from 1 species